CUGCAGCGGAGACUGGCACAAGAACAGAGCGGAGCCGAUCCUCUCGGGGCUGGCACACCGCGUAAUCAAAUGCAAGGCUUCGAGGCUUUGAACAUGAGCUUUCAGCAGGCGACGCUCCUCCUUGCGCAGCGUCUUUGGAGAAGGGCUCGUUGCCACACUUCGAGUCGGUGAUUCCAUGCAGAGAGAUGUGCGUCUUCCUCUGCAUCCAAUCCAUCGUCCUUUACCCAAACUGGACCAAGGUAGAAGAGAUGGCGCAAUUGGGAUAAGUCAUCUUCUACUUGGAAGCUUCUCCACUUAACACCUGUU